AGAGUUUGAUCCUGGCUCAGAACGAACGCUGGCGGCAUGCCUAACACAUGCAAGUCAAACGCUCUUGGGGCUUCGGUCUCAAGGGAGUGGCGCACGGGUGAGUAGCGCGUGGGAACCUGCCCUCUUGUGGGGGAUAACCGAGGGAAACUUCGGCUAAUACCGCAUGCGCCCCGGGGAAACCCGGGGGAAAGAUUUAUCGCAGGAGGAGGGGCCCGCGUCGGAUUAGCUGGUUGGUGGGGUAACGGCUCACCAAGGCGAUGAUCCGUAGCUGGUCUGAGAGGAUGAUCAGCCACACUGGGACUGAGACACGGCCCAGACUCCUACGGGAGGCAGCAGUGGGGAAUAUUGGACAAUGGGGGCAACCCUGAUCCAGCAAUGCCGCGUGAGUGAUGAAGGCCUUCGGGUUGUAAAGCUCUUUCGCCCGCGACGAUGAUGACGGUAGCGGGAGAAGAAGCCCCGGCUAACUUCGUGCCAGCAGCCGCGGUA
rnacentral:rRNA from 1 species